GAACGCUGGCGGCAGGCUUAACACAUGCAAGUCGAGCGGUAGCACAGGGGAGCUUGCUCCCUGGGUGACGAGCGGCGGACGGGUGAGUAAUGUCUGGGAAACUGCCUGAUGGAGGGGGAUAACACUGGAAACGGUAGCUAAUACCGCAUAACGUCGCAAGACCAAAGAGGGGGACCUUCGGGCCUCUUGCCAUCAGAUGUGCCCAGAUGGGAUUAGCUAGUAGGUGGGGUAAUGGCUCACCUAGGCGACGUCCCUAGCUGGUCUGAGAGGAUGACCAGCCACACUGGAACUGAGACACGGUCCAGACUCCUACGGGAGGCAGCAGUGGGGAAUAUUGCACAAUGGGCGCAAGCCUGAUGCAGCCAUGCCGCGUGUGUAAGAAGGCCUUCGGGUUGUAAAGCACUUUCAGCGAGGAGGAAGGUGGUGAGCUUAAUACGUUCAUCAAUUGACGUUACUCGCAGAAGAAGCACCGGCUAACUCCGUGCCAGCAGCCGCGGUAAUACGAGGGUGCAAGCGUUAAUCGGAAUUACUGGGCGUAAAGCGCACGCAGGCGGUUUGUUAAGUCAGAUGUGAAAUCCCCGGGCUCAACCUGGGAACUGCAUUUGAAACUGGCAAGCUAGAGUCUCGUAGAGGGGGUAGAAUUCCAGGUGUAGCGGUGAAAUGCGUAGAGAUCUGGAGGAAUACCGGUGGCGAAGGCGGCCCCCUGGACGAAGACUGACGCUCAGGUGCGAAAGCGUGGGGAGCAAACAGGAUUAGAUCCCUGGUAGUCCACGCUGUAAACGAUGUCGAUUUGGAGGUUGUGCCCUUGAGGCGUGGCUUCCGGAGCUAACGCGUUAAAUCGACCGCCUGGGGAGUACGGCCGCAAGGUUAAAACUCAAAUGAAUUACGGGGGCCCGCACAAGCGGUGGAGCAUGUGGUUUAAUUCGAUGCAACGCGAAGAACCUUACCUACUCUUGACAUCCAGAGAACUUUCCAGAGAUGGAUUGGUGCCUUCGGGAACUCUGAGACAGGUCUGCAUGGCUGUCGUCAGCUCGUGUUGUGAAAUGUUGGGUUAAGUCCCGCAACGAGCGCAACCCUUAUCCUUUGUUGCCAGCGGUUCGGCCGGGAACUCAAAGGAGACUGCCAGUGAUAAACUGGAGAAGGUGGGGAUGACGUCAAGUCAUCAUGGCCCUUACGAGUAGGGCUACACACGUGCUACAAUGGCGUAUACAAAGAGAAGCGACCUCGCGAGAGCAAGCGGACCUCAUAAAGUACGUCGUAGUCCGGUUGGAGUCUGCAACUCGACUCCAUGAAGUCGGAAUCGCUAGUAAUCGUAGAUCAGAAUGCUACGGUGAAUACGUUCCCGGGCCUUGUACACACCGCCCGUCACACCA
rnacentral:rRNA from 1 species